GAUGAACGCUGGCGGCGUGCCUAAUACAUGCCAGUCGAGCGAACAGAUGAGGAGCUUGCUCCUCUGACGUUAGCGGCGGACGGGUGAGUAACACGUGGAUAACCUACCUAUAAGACUGGGAUAACUUCGGGAAACCGUAGCUAAUACCGGAUAAUAUAUUGAACCGCAUGGUUCAAUAGUUAAAUACGGUUUUGCUGUCACUUAUAGAUGGAUCCGCGCCGCAUUAGCUAGUUGGUAAGGUAACGGCUUACCAAGGCAACGAUGCGUAGCCGACCUGAGAGGGUGAUCGGCCACACUGGAACUGAGACACGGUCCAGACUCCUACGGGAGGCAGCAGUAGGGAAUCUUCCGCAAUGGGCGAAAGCUUGACGGAGCAACGCCGCGUGAGUGAUGAAGGUCUUCGGAUCGUAAAACUCUGUUAUUAGGGAAGAACAAAUGUGUAAGUAACUAUGCACGUCUUGACGGUACCUAAUCAGAAAGCCACGGCUAACUACGUG
rnacentral:rRNA from 1 species